CAGGCUUAACACAUGCAAGUCGAGGGGCAGCAUGGUCUUAGCUUGCUAAGGCCGAUGGCGACCGGCGCACGGGUGAGUAACACGUAUCCAACCUGCCGUCUACUCUUGGACAGCCUUCUGAAAGGAAGAUUAAUACAAGAUGGCAUCAUGAGUCCACAUGUUCACAUGAUUAAAGGUAUUCCGGUAGACGAUGGGGAUGCGUUCCAUUAGAUAGUAGGCGGGGUAACGGCCCACCUAGUCUUCGAUGGAUAGGGGUUCUGAGAGGAAGGUCCCCCACAUUGGAACUGAGACACGGUCCAAACUCCUACGGGAGGCAGCAGUGAGGAAUAUUGGUCAAUGGGCGAGAGCCUGAACCAGCCAAGUAGCGUGAAGGAUGACUGCCCUAUGGGUUGUAAACUUCUUUUAUAAAGGAAUAAAGUCGGGUAUGCAUACCCGUUUGCAUGUACUUUAUGAAUAAGGAUCGGCUAACUCCGUGCCAGCAGCCGCGGUAAUACGGAGGAUCCGAGCGUUAUCCGGAUUUAUUGGGUUUAAAGGGAGCGUAGAUGGAUGUUUAAGUCAGUUGUGAAAGUUUGCGGCUCAACCGUAAAAUUGCAGUUGAUACUGGAUAUCUUGAGUGCAGUUGAGGCAGGCGGAAUUCGUGGUGUAGCGGUGAAAUGCUUAGAUAUCACGAAGAACUCCGAUUGCGAAGGCAGCCUGCUAAGCUGCAACUGACAUUGAGGCUCGAAAGUGUGGGUAUCAAACAGGAUUAGAUACCCUGGUAGUCCACACGGUAAACGAUGAAUACUCGCUGUUUGCGAUAUACUGCAAGCGGCCAAGCGAAAGCGUUAAGUAUUCCACCUGGGGAGUACGCCGGCAACGGUGGAACUCAAAGGAAUUGACGGGGGCCCGCACAAGCGGAGGAACAUGUGGUUUAAUUCGAUGAUACGCGAGGAACCUUACCCGGGCUUAAAUUGCAGAUGAAUUACGGUGAAAGCCGUAAGCCGCAAGGCAUCUGUGAAGGUGCUGCAUGGUUGUCGUCAGCUCGUGCCGUGAGGUGUCGGCUUAAGUGCCAUAACGAGCGCAACCCUUGUUGUCAGUUACUAACAGGUUCUGCUGAGGACUCUGACAAGACUGCCAUCGUAAGAUGUGAGGAAGGUGGGGAUGACGUCAAAUCAGCACGGCCCUUACGUCCGGGGCUACACACGUGUUACAAUGGGGGGUACAGAGGGCCGCUACCACGCGAGUGGAUGCCAAUCCCAAAAACCUCUCUCAGUUCGGACUGGAGUCUGCAACCCGACUCCACGAAGCUGGAUUCGCUAGUAAUCGCGCAUCAGCCACGGCGCGGUGAAUACGUUCCCGGGCCUUGUACACACCGCCCGUCAAGCCAUGGGAGCCGGGGGUACCUGAAGUGCGUAACCGCGAGGAGCGCCCUAGGGUAAAACUGGUGACUG
rnacentral:rRNA from 1 species